rnacentral:sRNA from 1 species
GUCUCACUUCAGCCCGAGCGCGGGGUUAGGGCUUCAUUGCCUUGUGUCUUCUGCUCCGGGAGACUUCGGUGAUUCUGCCACUCACUCCGUCGCUCUGUGACCUGCUGGCAUUGAAUGAUUUAUAGCUAAGACUCCAGGACACCCCUGAAGCCGAGAAAUGUGGAAAAGCGAGAUUUUCUUUGACCAUUGGCUAUGGACAUUGUCAGGGAUGGUGCAGCCUGAAUGAGAAUGUCUGCAGUAUUUCCUGAAAUAAGUAUCCCUCAAGGAUGAUACUGUGGACCUCACUCAGGAAGAAUGUGUCCUUCAGAGAAAGCUGCGCAGAGACGUGGUGCUGGAGAAGCAGUCAUCUGGUUACUUUGGCAUGAAUGAGAGAUCCUUUCGCUUCACAUCUUUGCCAGCAUUUGGUGUUGUCAGUGUUCUAGAUUUUGGCCAUUAUAGUACAUGACUUCAGGCUCCUAUGUGCAGAAGUCCUCAACCCCCAGGCUGCAGACCAGUACCUGUCCAUGGCCUGUUAGGAAACUGGCCGCACAGCAGGAGGUGAAAUGAUUAUUGCAGUUU